GCCCUCGAAAGGGAAACCAGUUAAAAUUCUGGUAUCUGGAUAUGGAUUCUCCGCGGCAACGCAACUGAGAGCGGAGACCUUGGCGGGAGCCCCAAGAAGAGUUCUCUUUUCUUCUUAACAGUCUGUCACCCUGAAAUCGGUUUGUCCGGAGCUAGGGUUCAAUGGCUGGAAGAGCGCUGCACUUUUGCGGCGUUUGGUGCGCUCCCGACGAGCCUUGAAAAUCCGCUUGAAGAAAUAGUUUUCAUGCCAGGUCGUACUGAUAACCGCAGCAGGUCUCCAAGG
rnacentral:rRNA from 11 species